GUAGUAGUUUGUGUAAUAUCGCGAUCCUUCUCUGGUGUUCCUUGUUUUAGCUGACGACACUCGAGAGCGCCAAUUUUCCUAGAUUCGAUUUUGUGGUUUGGAACUGUGGUUUUGGAAUCCAGAGUAGUCGCCUCGUUCUAGUAUCCAAUUGCUCCAGCACCAACUGGUGAAAAGACCAUCAUUCUUCUACUCAGUUGCAUUUGAAGCUUUGUCAAAAACCAGACACAAUUGGAGACACAGGUUCUUCUAUCAAGGCCUUGACUGGAAUGGCAUAUUUUCAGAUAUGACCACAUUGCUUUGAGGAAAUGAGGCUGAUGUUGCAGAGCUGAUAAAACCCCCACAGAAAGGCCAGCCUACCUCUGAGUCUCUCUGUGCUGAGCCGCCUGGAACUGGGGGUGAGGUGAUGCAAACACCCAUGUGGCCACCACCAGUGUAAUUGCCCUGAGGCAGACCUGAAACCAGCAUAGUACUGGGUCUUGC
rnacentral:lncRNA from 1 species